ACCUCAGUAGCAUAGUGGUUUGUGCGCAGCCCAGGAAAGGUUGAGACGCGGGUUCGAAUCCCGCCUGAGAUG
rnacentral:tRNA from 1 species